rnacentral:rRNA from 1 species
CCUUAACGCUGGCGGCAGGCCUAACACAUGCAAGUCGAGCGGAUGACGGGAGCUUGCUCCUUGAUUCAGCGGCGGACGGGUGAGUAAUGCCUAGGAAUCUGCCUGGUAGUGGGGGACAACGUUUCGAAAGGAACGCUAAUACCGCAUACGUCCUACGGGAGAAAGCAGGGGACCUUCGGGCCUUGCGCUAUCAGAUGAGCCUAGGUCGGAUUAGCUAGUUGGUGAGGUAAUGGCUCACCAAGGCGACGAUCCGUAACUGGUCUGAGAGGAUGAUCAGGUCACACUGGAACUGAGACACGUCCAGACUCCUACGGGAGGCAGGCAGUGGGGAAUAUUGGACAAUGGUCGAAAGCCUGAUCCAGCCAUGCCGCGUGUGUGAAGAAGGUCUUCGGAUUGGAAAAGCCUUUAAGUUGGGAGGAAGGGCAGUAAGUUAAUACCUUGCUUGUUUUGACGUUACCGACAGAAUAAGCACCGGUUAACUCUUUGCCAGCGGCCGGGGUAAUCAAAGGGUGCAAGCGUUAAUCGGAAUUACUGGGCCGAAAAGCCCCCCGAGGUGGUUCGUUAAAUUGGAUUGAAAACCCCGGGCUCAACCUGGGAACUUGCUUCAAAAAUGGCGAACUUAAGACCGGUAAAGGGGGGGGGAAUUUCUUUGGGGCGGGUAAACUCCUUAAUUUUGGGGGGAGCCCCGGGGGGAGGCCGCCCCUUGGCUGGAACUUACCCUUAGUGACAAACGUUUGGGGACCAACAAGUAAAAAAUCCCGGGCGCCCUCCCCGAAACAAUUCAAACUCCCCGGGGACCUUUGAAAUUUAUGGGGCCCCCCUGCCCAAAAAGAGGCCCCCCCUGG